CCUACGGGAGGCAGCAGUGGGGAAUAUUGCACAAUGAGGGAAACCCUGAUGCAGCGACGCCGCGUGAGUGAAGAAGUAUUUCGGUAUGUAAAGCUCUAUCAGCAGGGAAGAAGAAAGACGGUACCUGACUAAUAAGCCCCGGCUAACAACGUGCCAGCAGCCGCGGUAAUACGUAGGGGGCAAGCGUUAUCCGGAUUCACUGGGUGUAAAGGGAGCGUAGACGGCCAUGCAAGCCAGGGGUGAAAGCCAGGGGCCCAACCCCGGGACUGCCCUUGGAACUGUGCGGCUAGAGUUCGGGAGGGGCAGGCGGAAUUCCUGGUGUAGCGGUGAAAUGCGUAGAUAUCAGGAGGAACACCGGAGGCGAAGGCGGCCUGCUGGAUCGCGACUGACGUUGAGGCUCGAAAGCGUGGGGAGCGAACAGGAUUAGAUACCCUAGUAGUC
rnacentral:rRNA from 1 species